GUAACGUGUAACACCCUUUCGGCGCGAGGUUAUCGGUUUGUCCGCUUUUUUCGCAUUUUACCGGCAAUUAGAGAAUUUUGCGACCUAUAAAAGCGGGAGAAUCCCGCGUUCCCUACCAGUCUUACAUCAGGGGCCACACUAUGAUGAAUGCCCUUACUGUAUUACUGCUGUGCCUAACGGCCGGGUAUGCGUUACCAGUACACUUUCCUGCUGAGAAAACGGUUAUUUACAAUUACUAUGCCGACGUGAAAACUGGGGUUUUUGAACCAACGCAUUAUAUCUCCCAAUUCAGUCUCGCAGGACAACUUCACAUAACGAAGGAUGUCAGUGAUUCGACUUUAAAUAAUGCCUUACGUCAAAUUGAACAACGUAAAGUAUGGCAUGUACAAUGGCAUGGUUACCAUGUCUCAGCCGGCCGAAGUUCUUCAUGAACUCGGAGAAGCCGCACAAGAAAUCCAAGAGCCGUUCAUGAUCGUUUACGACGAAUAUGGCAAGUUCCAAGGCAUCAAAAUGCCGGAAACAGAGAGCGGUUGGUCUAGAAACAUCAAGCAAGCUAUUGCCUCGAUGCUGCAAUUGGAUUUAGCUCAUAUACACAUGGAAACUCCGAUGAAACCGCACGCUUUCAUCACGCAGGAGAACACUAUCCACGGUACCUGCCAAGUCGCCUACGAUGUUCACCCGAAGGUCGCAUCAAAUAUGGAAAACGUCAACGUUUUCAUGGUCACUAAAAUGCACGAUAUGAGGAACUGCAGCCACUUCGUUCAGCGCGUCUUCGAUCACAACGAAUGUGAGAAAUGUCAUAUGGAGCCUGUGGAUGACGUGGUUACUUCCGCCAAUAGAGUCUUCGAGAUCAAGCAGCAGGAUAAUGACAUUCUCAUCAAGCGUCUGGUUGCUCACUCAACUAUCGUUUAUUCCCCUUGGAAUAGCCAAUCUGAUACUCACUAUGUCUCGACUAACACUACUUUGGAUCUGCAUUCCGUAGUACAAAUGACGGAAGUUCCUGUGUGGCUGUGAAUGUUCAGAAUGUGCCUAUUAUUCGUGACAUUACUUUCAACAACCGAUAGGAAAUUAUGCUUCCCACGCUGCCGAAGAUCUCACUCAUGGUCGACAUAUUGUGAAAUUGGACACGCUCAUCCCUAAACUUAAGAAGAUGUUGGUCGAAGCUGCUGAUUAUCUCGAAGAAAAUCACUUGGAAGCCAAAGAACCCGAAUGGAAGCACGGGCAAACAUCAACAGGCUGCAGCACUAUGAGCUACAUGGAUCUGGGUUCGCUGGAGCAAGUUUACAUGCCAUUCAGGAUCCAAAGACCCCAAGGAAGUCACGAUGAAGAAUAUCUUCUUGCGAAUGAUUCCAACUGUGGGCACAGCCGCCCCCAGCUAUUUUGUACGAAUGUUGUCGUAAGCAUAAAGUCAACGAAGAUACUGCUGUCGCAAUGUUGAUGAAAUUGCCGAUGCAUGUCAAAGUACCAUCUGAAGGAUUACUUCUGGAAAUGGAAGACCUGUUAAAAUUCGGUAGCACUGUAUCACCGCUUGUCAGAAAGACCAGCAUCCUCUCCUUCUCCAUUUUGAUUCGCAAGACGUUUCAUGCAUCAGCAGAGCGAUAUCGUCAAUCCUCUUCUGGAAAGAUAUCUUCACCGUUUCCUCGAUCAUCUUAAGAAUGAACAAUCAUACGAUAUGAAAAUGGUAUAUCUGAUGGCAAUAAAGAACGUACAAGUCGGCAAUAUUGAAAAGCUUUUAGAACCAAUUAUCCGUGGCGAACUUAUGAUAUCCGAGAAUCAUCCAUAUCAUAUUCGCGUUCAAGCAAUCUGGGCCAUCAAGAAGGCAGUCGCCGACAAAGUCGAGUACACUCAUAACUUGCUCUGGCCUAUUCUCGUUGAUGUCAGUCAACACUACCUAUGAGGCUUGUCGCUUAUGAUGUCUUAAUGAGCCAAAUGCCAAACAUGCAACGUAUGAUGAACAUUUACUGGCUCAUGAAUUCUGAGCGGAACAACCAUCUGUACAACUAUCAUCUUACUACCCUAAAAGGACUAGCUAAUUCCGUUGAUCCUUGUCUUAUGCCAGUUCGCGAAAUGGCCAGGAAGAUUUUACGUUUCACAGCAAUCAGACCAGUCACCACUAUGCUUUCGUCUAAACAGUUUGUUGACUAUACAGAUCCUAUAUACGAAUACGGUGAAUCCCUGAAUAUCGCCUGGGUUCUCGACGAAAUGACCGGUAUGCCACAGGCUGGAUACUUCGAAAAGCACAUCUCGGUCUCCCGUAAAUCCGUCGAUAAAAUUGGCAUCUACUGGAAUGUCUAUGGCCUUGAUGAAAUGAUGAAAGUGGUUAAGAAGGAAUUGGUCGGCACCACAGUAGAAAACCUCAACAACAAGAACGUACAGAACAUUUUACUCCGCGCCGCUCAGGACAUGCCAAUGAAGAAACUCAUUCACGUUGACAUCUGCAUCACGCUGAACGGUCUCGUCAUCAUUACACAACACUUGGAUCAAAACACCUUCAAAAAUAUGUUGAACGAAAUGCAUCAGCUAAAACAGAUAAUGACCGCCAAUUUCCAGGAUAUCUUAUACGAGACUCUUUACGAGAUGCAAGUGCCCACUGAUAUGGGUUUGCAGGGAGUUUUUAGUACUAAGAUACCUCAAUUGUGGUCGCUAAAGUUCAACAACGUUUAUACCGAGGUCAAGAAACCGUCGGUGAAUAUGAAGUUCGAUGUCGACGCUCGCAUCUGGAGGCAUGGCGAAUACGCCAUGUCAAUCUAUAACCCGAUUGUCGACGUUUGGCACUCAAUUCGUCGCGCCACUGUCCAGGACACCGUCGUACCUAUGCAGAUGAGCGUCGGUUACAAUCACGAAGCGAAGAGCCUUAAGAUCAGCAUGCCGAGACUGCCGGUCAAUAACUAUCAGUUACGGGAAUACGGUCCUACGCGAAAAACCUGGUGACCGUCACCGAGGACGAGCAAGAUGUUCUCAAGACCUGCUGCGCUACCUGCCAUCAUCACACAGUCGUCACCACCGGCGAGAAAAAGAAUCAUCACGUCGCUAUGGAUUCUAAAGAUGUAGGCCUCAAAUACAGCAUGUCAAUCUUCGAUUGCGAGAACGAGAUGACCCCGAUGACUACGCCCAGGAAUGGCAACGUGUGCUCUCCAUGGAACACAAGAACACCUGGUAA